UCCGUGUUAACCACGGCAGUCUCUCUAGAGUGCCCAACUUAAUGAUGGCAACUAAAGACAAGGGUUGCGCUCGUUGCUGGACUUAACCAAACGUCUCACGACACGAGCUGACGACAGCCAUGCAGCACCUGUGUUCUAGGUCUCUUGCGAGAAAGGCCCGUUUCCGGGUCCUGUCCUAGACAAGUCAAGGCUGGGUAAGGUUUUGCGCGUUGCGUCGAAUUAAACCACAUGCUCCACCGCUUGUGCGGGCCCCCGUCAAUUCCUUUGAGUUUUAAUCUUGCGACCGUACUCCCCAGGCGGAAUGCUUAAAGCGUUAGCUGCGCCACUAGUGAGUAAACCCACUAACGGCUGGCAUUCAUCGUUUACGGCGUGGACUAC
rnacentral:misc_RNA from 1 species